GGAUUCCCCUAGUAACUGCGAGUGAAGCGGGAAAAGCUCAAAUUUAAAAUCUGGCAGUCUUCGAUUGUCCGAGUUGUAAUUUAGAGAAGCGUUAUCCGUGUUGGACCGUGUACAAGUCUCCUGGAACGGAGCGUCAUAGAGGGUGAGAAUCCCGUCCAUGGCACGGACUACCAAUGCAUUGUGAUGCGCUCUCGAAGAGUCGAGUUGUUUGGGAAUGCAGCUCUAAAUGGGUGGUAAAUUCCAUCUAAAGCUAAAUAUAGGCGAGAGACCGAUAGCGAACAAGUACCGUGAGGGAAAGAUGAAAAGAACUUUGGAAAGAGAGUUAAACAGUACGUGAAAUUGUUGAAAGGGAAACGCUUGAAGUCAGUCGCGUUGUUCAGGGAUCAGCCUUGCUCUGCUUGGUGUACUUCCUGUUCGACGGGUCAGCAUCAGUUUCGAUCGUUGGAAAAAGUGCGCAGGAAUGUGGCAUCCUCGGAUGUGUUAUAGCCUGUGUUCGUAUACAACGGUUGGGACUGAGGAAUCAGCACUCGAUGCUUGGGAUGCUGGCAUAAUGGCUUUAAGCGACCCGUCUUGAAACACGGACCAAGGAGUCUAACAUGCCCGCGAGUGUUUGGGUGGAAAACCCGAGCGCGUAAUGAAAGUGAAAAGUUGGGAUCUCUGUCGUGGAGAGCACCGACGCCCGGACCAGAUGUUUUCGGACGGAUCUGCGGUAGAGCGUGUAUGUUGGGACCCGAAAGAUGGUGAACUAUGCCUGAAUAGGGCGAAGCCAGAGGAAACUC
rnacentral:rRNA from 1 species